AUACAGCAGAGCAGUGAGUGUGUGUGUGUGUGUGUGUGUGUGUGUGUGUGUGUGUGAAUGUGAAUGAACUUUUACCAUCCUGCAAGACACCACCACACCAAAUGGCUGAACUAACAGACUCCUAUUACUUAGGAUUUGACUUCAGCACCCAGCAGCUGAAAGUCGUUGCCAUUGAUGGCAGUCUUCAAGUUACUCACCAGAGUAAUGUACAGUUUGAUGGUGACCUUCCAGAGUUCAGGACUCAGGGGGGAGUUCACAUCCAUGAGAACAGAGUGACCGUAACCUCUCCAGUGCUCAUGUGGGUCAAGGCACUCGACCUGCUCCUUGAAAAGAUGAAGGGUGCUGGAUUUGACUUCUCUCGUGUGAAAGCUAUUUCAGGCAGCGGGCAGCAACAUGGCAGUGUAUACUGGAAAAAGGGAGCGAGAAAAACUCUGCAGCGUCUGGAUCCGGGAAGAUAUUUACACAGCCUGCUGCAGGAUAGUUUUGCUGUCCAUGACAGUCCAGUGUGGAUGGACUCCAGUACUACAGAGCAAUGUAAGAGCCUUGAGUGUGCAGUAGGGGGCGCUCAACAGCUUGCUGAUAUCACUGGGUCACGGGCCUAUGAGCGCUUUACUGCAAAUCAGAUUGCCAAGAUCUACCAGUUACAGCAGGACAGAUACAAUGAGACUGAGAGAAUCUCACUGGUCAGUAGCUUUGCUGCAUCUCUUUUUCUUGGUGAUUAUGCACCUGUUGACUUCAGUGAUGGUUCAGGGAUGAAUUUAAUGGACAUCUUCACUAAAAAGUGGUCAGAGCCAUGUUUGAAAGCCACUGCGCCUCAGCUGGCAGAGAAGCUGGGUAACCCCACACCACCAAAUGCAGUUCUGGGCUCUGUUUCUCACUAUUUCGUCAAGCGUUUUGGGUUCCCAGAAGACUGUAAAGUGGUGGCUUUUACUGGCGACAAUCCUGGAUCCUUGGCAGGGAUGCGGCUACAGGAGGGAGAUAUAGCGGUGAGCCUAGGCACGAGUGACACCGUGUUUCUGUGGCUCAAGGAACCCAGGCCUAUGGUGGAAGGACACAUCUUCUGCAACCCUGUAGACUGUCUGUCGUAUAUGGCUCUGAUCUGUUAUAAGAACGGCUCUCUGACUAGAGAACGGAUCCGUAACGAGUGUGCUGGAGGAUCAUGGGAAGAUUUCUCCGCUGCCCUGAGGUCCAGCCCCAUGGGGAACAAUGGAAACAUAGGAAUUUAUUUCGAUGCAGUGGAAAUCACACCUCCAGCGGUUGGGAUUCAUAGAUUUGAUCAGCAUGAUAAAGAAGUAGCUGCCUUCACCCUGGAGGUGGAAAUUCGAGCUCUGGUUGAAGGACAGUUCUUGGCAAAGAGAGUGCAUGCCCAGAAGUUGGGUUACAGGAUUAAUGGCAGGGUACGGACAGCUGUCUUGUCAGCUUUCAUCCACUGGAUGUAUUUGAAGGCCACGUUUUGGACAGAUGCGACCUUCUCUGCGAAGUACAGGGAACACGAGUUCUGGCGACAGGAGGGGCCUCAUCUAACAAGGACAUACUUCAGGUUCUGUCUGACGUGUUCAACGCUCCGGUGUACACCAUCGACGUGGCCAACUCUGCCUGCCUCGGCUGCGCCUACAGAGCUGUGCAUGGACUUGCCGCUGAAAUGGGAAUGUCAUAUGCAGAGGCAGUGAGUAAAGCCCCAGGAGCACAGCUCGCAGUGAGACCAACCCCAGGAGCUGAAAAGGUCUACGGACCUCUGCUGAAGAGAUAUGCAGAUCUGGAAGAGAAGAUUCUCAAGCACACAAUGACACUAUGAUUCACACACACUCAGUAUCGUUGAAGCGUCUUUCUGGGUGUUUUUUUCUUUAAAUCAGCCAAUAAACUGAUGAUGCCUUUAAUGUGAUUCUGUAUAAAGGAUGCUUCAUUGUUUUGUUUUUUUUAGGUGGAGAUGUAUGUGCACUGAUUCUGUGGAUGACUCACACUGUUCAGUGUUAAUUGUGGGCAGGAAGCAGCUCAGUGUGAUCAUUAAUCUGGCCUGACAGGUUGAAAUCUAUCACCACGUCAGGAGUAAAAUAAAAUAAAAAAAUGCUAUUGUGUACCAUAAUUCCAGUAUGAGCUGUGAAAUGAAGGAAUACAAUAACUGAUAGGAGCUGUUUGACUCGACCUUCCCCUUCCCCUUUCUAAGAUGGAGCACAAUUAUUUUCUAAAUAUAUAUGUGCGUGUGUGUUUCACUGAUACUUUGACCUAAGGCUGUGUUCUAUUAAUAAUAAUCCAUCUGAGUUUCACACAUUCCCACUCGCUGACACCGGUGUGCCUCGGCUGCCGCUUUAAAUCAAUUGGUCAUUAGUCUUCAGCUCCAGCCUUCGCUGCUGUUAAAUGUGAAGUGUACGGUAGUGUGCAUGCAUUAAUGUCACGGUUCUGCAGAGCCCUGUAAUGUAUUUAAGGCUACACAUCGUGCAUUAAUUAAGAUCAUCAGUUUGCCACUGUUUACACAUCUUUGGAUCAUAUGUUUCACUAUUUAUCCCCAGGAGACAUUUACGGGUGCUGAUGAUAAUCUGUUAGUGUUACACAGACCCAGUUAUCAGCAGUCUAAAUAAACUGGUGAAAACAUAUAGGAAAUUUUGAGUGGUGGUGACCCAGAUAAC